rnacentral:lncRNA from 1 species
AGAAUAGAUUAACCAAUGAAUAUUACGUUACAUAUAUUAUUUAUCUUAGAAGUUAACAACACCAUCCUCCGUAGUUCUCGUUGGUUGGGUACUUGGCCACCGAUGAGCAAAUUACGGGUUCGAGGAAUGGUGGGAGAGAGAGAAAAGGAGAGAAAAUGAGGUAUUUCAAAAUACCUCCAUUUUGGCCAUUUCAAUUUGGUGUAGAUUUUAAUGAAUUCUGAUAUACUUGUAAUUAGGCCACAUUUUAUUUUUUAAAAAAUAUUUUUUGGUUGACAGAAUAGUGAUAAUUUGGUAAUUUAAUAAUUUUAAUAAUGAUUCACUUGUAAUUAUGGUAAAUUUUAUUAUUUUAAACACUUUUUAGUUGAUUGGACUGUGAACAUCAGC